UCCAGACUCCUACGGGAGGCAGCAGUGGGGAAUAUUGCACAAUGGGGGGAACCCUGAUGCAGCGACGCCGCGUGGGUGAAGGAGUAUUUCGGUAUGUAAAGCCCUCUCAGCAGGGAAGAACAAUGACGGUACCUGACCAAGAAGCCCCGGCUAACUACGUGCCAGCAGCCGCGGUAAUACGUAGGGGGCAAGCGUUAUCCGGAUUUACUGGGUGUAAAGGGAGCGUAGACGGCAGCGCAAGUCUGGAGUGAAAUGCCGGGGCCCAACCCCGGAACUGCUUUGGAAACUGUGCAGCUGGAGUGCAGGAGAGGUAAGCGGAAUUCCUAGUGUAGCGGUGAAAUGCGUAGAUAUUAGGAGGAACACCAGUGGCGAAGGCGGCUUACUGGACUGUAACUGACGUUGAGGCUCGAAAGCGUGGGGAGCAAACAGGAUUAGAUACCCGAGUA
rnacentral:rRNA from 1 species